rnacentral:rRNA from 1 species
CGGCCGCGUCGACCAUGGCUCAGAUUGAACGCUGGCGGCAGGCCUAACACAUGCAAGUCGAGCGGAUGAGUGGAGCUUGCUCCACGAUUCAGCGGCGGACGGGUGAGUAAUGCCUAGGAAUCUGCCUGGUAGUGGGGGGACAACGUUUCGAAAGGAACGCUAAUACCGCAUACGUCCUACGGGAGAAAGCAGGGGACCUUCGGGCCUUGCGCUAUCAGAUUAGCCUAGGUCGGAUUAGCUAGUUGGUGAGGUAAUGGCUCACCAAGGCUGCGAUCCGUAACUGGUCUGAGAGGAUGAUCAGUCACACUGGAACUGAGACACGGUCCAGACUCCUACGGGAGGCAGCAGUGGGGAAUAUUGGACAAUGGGCGAAAGCCUGAUCCAGCCAUGCCGCGUGUGUAGAAGAAGGUCCUUUUGGUUGUAAAGCACUUUAAGCAGUGAAGAAGACUCCAUGGUUAAUACCCAUGGACGAUGACAUUAGCUGCAGAAUAACGCACCGGCUAACUCUGG